rnacentral:tRNA from 1 species
GGCCCGUUGGUCAAAAGGUUAAGACACCGCCCUUUCACGGCGGUAAUAGGGGUUCGAUUCCCCUACGGGUCACCA